GUGAUCUAUUGUCUAGAGAUGGUUCUGCAAGCAUAGCUCACGUGGCAGCUUAGGGUUUUGAUUGUACGAGUUGUGCUUCUUCUAUAUAAGAAACAAGGGGUUUAUUGUGGGUUAGAGGUGAGUGGCCUAGCUUAUGUGGUGUUAGUUGAGAUUCCAGGAAUGAACCGCGUAGCAUCCCAUCCCAUGCACCAUUUCAGCACUCUCCCCCAAAUUCCUUCUAUUCAUUUUCCUAAACCGUGUAGGCCCCGUGUUUAACAGUGUUUUCCUCUCUUAUAAAUUGCCUCACAGCCAAAACCCAAAGAAGAAGAGAGAUUAAUAAAAGAAACCCAGAAGAAGCCAAGGAAAGCAUUAGAGAAGUGCAUGGCAAGUUAGACAAACUUCGAAGUCAAUCCUUAUGAAUCUCAAUCUACUUUAGAUAUUUGCUGGAAUUUGUUCUCCAAUUCAAAUCCAAUUAGCAGCAUUAUUACUAUUGUUUUUAUUGCCUUCAAUUUCCUUCUCUAACUUGUCUUCGCCCUUCUCUCAUUCUUAUCUUUGGACUUUGGUUCCUUUCCUUCUGUUCAAUAAUCCAUGUUAUACCUACACCUACAUACACCAAGAUCCAAUUAAGGUCUAAGAAAUACUUAGAACAGCUCCAUGAAAUAUGAGACAUCACAACAGGCCAACCAGUAGAUCUGGGCACAAACAGGCAGCUGAAGAUCUACUAUAGAUACUAAUUCAGGCAUCUUGAAGCACAAGGUCCGAUGCUUUUUAAUUUUCUUUGCCUUGCAGAUCACCCAGUUACAAGACCCAAUCCAUUAGUCAGCCUAGCUCGCCACAUAGAGACAUCAACAAGGAAGUCAAGAAAGAUCAGAUUUAACAGUACUGUGGUUGUUGAAUGCUCUAAAUAAAUCCCAAGAAAAUCUGGUUCAGCGGAGUGAGAGCCAAAACUAUGAAGAAAACUUCUAGUCUCAGGAAAGAAGUUGAGGGCUGCAGACAGGGGUACAUAAAGUGAGCUAGAAAAUACUAGCCAGAACCAGUAAAAGAUUACAUAGCAGCCGAUGAGAUGAAAGUUUGUUUUUCAAUUCAUAAAAUGUCCAAAGCUGUAACUAUAUAAUAACGUGAGGGACACUUAUUUCUUUUUGUCUCUUAGUAACUGCUUAUCAGAGAACACUUUAUUUUUCUUUUCCAGUUAUAUAUGCAUAGAUUUAUAUUAUAUGAAACGAGUGCUUCUCCAUUAAACUCAAA